UACGGAGGGUGCAAGCAUUAAUCGGAUUUAUUGGGCGUAAAGGGCGCGUAGGCGGGGAUAUAAGUCAGAUGUGAAAUCCCGGGGCUCAACCUCGGAACUGCAUUUGAAACUAUAUCUCUUGAGGAUAGGAGGAGAAAACGGAAUUCCACAAGUAGCGGUGAAAUGCGUAGAUAUGUGGAAGAACACCGGUGGCGAAGGCG
rnacentral:rRNA from 1 species